CAACAAGAUGAAGUUGAUUUGGUUCUUAGCUUUGUGUGCUGCAAUUUGCAAAUCUGCUCUCUGCUUUACUCCUUACUCUAAACAUAUCAAUGAAAAGAAUGGCUGGUACAUACCUAGAUCCGAUGGCAGCUUUUAUUGGAU